AGGACGAACGCUGGCGGCGUGCUUAAUACAUGCAAGUCGAACGAGGUCCAUCCAGUGGCAACACUGGUGAAGACCUAGUGGCGAACGGGUGAGUAACACGUGAGGAACCUGCCCCGAAGACCGGGAUAACCCUUCGAAAGGAGGGCUAAUACCGGAUACCCCCACCAGGUCGCAUGGCCAGGUGAGGAAAUGGAUUCCGCUUCGGGAGGGUCUCGCGGCCUAUCAGCUUGUUGGUGAGGUAACGGCUCACCAAGGCAUCGACGGGUAGCUGGUCUGAGAGGACGAUCAGCCACACUGGGGACUGAGACACGGCCCAGACUCCUACGGGAGGCAGCAGUAGGGAAUCUUGCGCAAUGGGCGAAAGCCUGACGCAGCAACGCCGCGUGGGGGAUGAAGGCUCUCGGGUUGUAAACCCCUUUCAGCAGGGACGAAUUGACGGUACCUGCAGAAGAGCCCCGGCAACUACGUGCCAGCAGCCGCGGU
rnacentral:rRNA from 1 species